CGUGCAACGGCGAAUUGUAGUCUCGAGAAGCGUUUUCCAGGCGGAUUCUCUUUGCCAAAGUUGCUUUGAACAGCACAUCAUAGAGGGUGACAAUCCCGUGUGUGGCAGAGAGAGCCGUUCACGAUGCGCUUUCCAAGAGUCGGGUUGCUUGGGAAUGCAGCCCAAAUUGGGUGGUAAACUCCAUCUAAAGCUUAAUAUUGGCACGAGACCGAUAGCGAACAAGUACCGUGAGGGAAAGAUGAAAAGCACUUUGAAAAGAGAGUUAAACAGUACGUGAAACCGUUAAAGGGGAAACGCAUGGAGUUAGCAAUGUCUCGCUCGGAUUCAGAUAGUUCUAGUCUGCGGGGCGGCGGCUUGGGGAUCCGAACGGACCUCUGUUGUUGCAAUCGCAGACGAGACUGUCGCACUUUCGGACGAGACGCGUCAACGAGUGUUUAAUGGAAGCGAUAAGCCGUCGCGUAAGGUGCGUUCGACUCGUCGGACUGUUAUAGACGCGAAUGAGCCAGCUUGCGUUGGACACGGGAACAUGCCACGCGAGCUCUUCGGGGCUGGCCUGUCUGCCCUCAAUUGGCUGUCGAACGUGGCGGACUGCUUGCAGUGCGUUGCAAACUGCUGUCGGUUGUCGGGUGGGCUGAGUGCACACACGCGUGCAGGUCGUUGGCGGUCAUAUGGCUUCAUGCGACCCGUCUUGAAACACGGACCAAGGAGUCUAACAUGUGCGCGAGUCUUAGGGUGACUGAAACCCGGAGGCACAAUGAAAGUGAGACGCAAGUCUUGGUGAGAUCUCUCGUCCACAUUCUGGGCGGGAGCGCAUCAUCGACCGACCUAUUCUACUCUUAGAAAGGUUUGAGUAUGAGCGCAUCUGUCGGGACCCGAAAGAUGGUGAACUAUGCCUGAGUAGGGUGAAGCCAGAGGAAACUCUGGUGGAGGCUCGUAGCGAUUCUGACGUGCAAAUCGAUCGUCAAACUUGGGUAUAGGGGCGAAAGACUAAUCGAACCGUCUAGUAGCUGGUUCCCUCCGAAGUUUCCCUCAGGAUAGCUGGAACUCGCCUGAAUCAGUUUUAUCAGGUAAAGCGAAUGAUUAGAGGUCUUAGGGUUGAAACAACCUUAACCUAUUCUCAAACUUUAAAUUGGUAAGAAGUCCGACUUGCUUGAUUGAAGCCGGACAUCGAAUGAGAGUUCUUAGUGGGCCAUUUUUGGUAAGCAGAACUGGCGAUGCGGGAUGAACCGAACGCGGAGUUAAGGCGCCUAAAUCGACGCUCAUCAGACCCCACAAAAGGUGUUGGUUGAUCUAGACAGCAGGACGGUGGCCAUGGAAGUCGGAAUCCGCUAAGGAGUGUGUAACAACUCACCUGCCGAAUCAACUAGCCCUGAAAAUGGAUGGCGCUCAAGCGUCGUGCCUAUACUCUGCCGUCGCAGCAAAUGCCAAGCCGCGACGAGUAGGAGGGCGCGGGGAUCGUGACGCAGCCUCUGGCGUGAGCCUGGGUGAAACGGUCUCUGGUGCAGAUCUUGGUGGUAGUAGCAAAUAUUCAAAUGAGAGCUUUGAAGACCGAAGUGGAGAAAGGUUCCAUGUGAACAGCAGUUGGACAUGGGUUAGUCGAUCCUAAGAGAUAGGGAAACUCCGUUUCAAAGCGUCCGAUCUCGGACCGUCUAUCGAAAGGGAAUCGGGUUAAUAUUCCCGAACCGGAAUGUGGAUAUCCCGCGCAAGCGGGUAAUGCGGCAACGCAAACGAACUCGGAGACGUCGGCGAGGGCCCUGGGAAGAGUUCUCUUUUCUUGUUAACGGACUAUCGCACCAUGGAAGCAGAUUGCCUGGAGAUAUGGUCUAACGUCCGGUAAAGCAGCACACAUUUUGUGCUGUCCGGUGCGCUCUCGACGGCCCUUGAAAAUCCGAGGGAGACACUUGAUUUUCACAUCCGUUCGUACUCAUAACCGCAGC
rnacentral:rRNA from 1 species